rnacentral:tRNA from 1 species
GAGGCUGUAGCUCAGUGGCAGAGUGCUUGCCUAGCAUGCAUGAGGCACUGGGUUCGAUCCUCAGCAUCACA